CUCUAAAACAAUAGUAAAAAUCAUUUCAAACCAAAAUCACCAUAUUCACAAUCUCUCUCUCUCUUUCAGACGCUCUCUCUAAAAUGGUUCGAAUCUCUCUCUCUACAACCCUAAUUUAGUUUUCGGCGGCGAAGAGGUCCGUCAAAUAGCCGGUUAAAAUCUUGAACGAACAAGUCGAGGAGAGCGGUGAAGACGACGGCAUCACACUUUCAAAUCUUCGGCGGCGAAGAGCUCCUUCAGGAUUGUUCCAUGGCCAAAAAGAACAGAGGAAUAUGUCAUACACAGAUGAAUAUGUCAUUCUUGUAGGGUGGCAAGACAAUAAAGGGAUGUUGUUCCAUUGUUGCACCCGCGAUUGUAGGCUUUUCAAGUUUUCUAACACUCCGCUCUACAAAGAGUAUCCAUUGCAAGGUGAAUCAAGUGGCACUACCAACGGAAGUGAAACGAUCGAUGAUUUGUUCCGUAUGUUGAGAACGUGUGCAAAAAUAACCGAGGAGAGAAACGUGGAGAUUUCAUUCAACUUAUUGUACUUAAAAUUCCUGUGAUGGUGGUCAUAGAAGCAAAUUUUUUGUUAAGAUGUCUUGAUCUAGAACGGUUUGUGUUGUAUGUAGUGAACUAUUACAAGCGUUCUCAAUCAAGUUUUUCAUAAUUUCUAUGGAUACA